CGAGUGCGCAAAGUCACCGGAAAUUCCACCCACCGCCGUCGCAACCGUAUAUAAACCCAUCAUCACAAUGCUCUUUCUUCUUUUGGCAGGCUAAUCCAGUGGGAUAUAUCUUUAGACAUCAUCCAGACUUUGUAUAAGAUGUCAUACCAAAGAACCAAGCGGUGAGAGCAUCAUACAUAAAUCUUCUCCUCGGCCUUGGAAUGCUGAGAGUGUAGAAGGAACACUUUUGUUUUCCUCUAGUAAGUAUUUCAUCAGAACGAAUAGGAAACACUUCGUUAUCACCCACUUGGUAGACUCAUUUCCCUC
rnacentral:lncRNA from 1 species